CUCGUGGCGAGCCCGGCUCGGCCCAUUAACAUCCCUAUAUAAACCAUGUCUCUUUGGGAUAGAAGUGAUCAAAUCACUACCCUAAAGAUUUUUAUGUGUCCUUGACCCAAUUUUAUGUCAAACUUCAUGUCAUCCAACAUUCCUAGAGACAGAAGGUUUCUUUUUAAUUCAGGAACAAAUAUGGCCUCUUUUAACAAUAAAAUUCUGCCAUUUUCUAAGAGCAAUUUUAUGGUUUCAAUACCUUUCACUUUGCAGGUCAUGUUGUUUCCCAUGAUAACUUGGCCUCCC
rnacentral:lncRNA from 1 species